rnacentral:rRNA from 1 species
AACGAACGCUGGCGGCAGGCUUAACACAUGCAAGUUGAACGCCCCGCAAGGGGAGUGGCAGACGGGUGAGUAACGCGUGGGAAUCUACCUAGUUCUACGGAACAACAGUUGGAAACGACUGCUAAUACCGUAUACGCCCUACGGGGAAAGAUUUAUCGGAAUUAGAUGAGCCCGCGUAAGAUUAGCUAGUUGGUGGGGUA